rnacentral:rRNA from 1 species
UACGGAGGGGGCCAGCGUUGUUUGGAAUUAUUGGGCGUAAAGGGCAUGUAGGCGGUUUAAUAAGUUAAAAGUGAAAUACCAGGGCUCAACUCYGGAGCUGCUUUUAAUACUAUUUAAACUAGAGAUCGAGAGAGGAUAGUGGAAUUCCUAGUGUAGAGGUGAAAUUCGUAGAUAUUAGGAGGAACACCAGUGGCGAAGGCGACUAUCUGGCUCRUUUCUGACCCUGAGGUGCAAAAGCGUGGGGAGCAAACAGGAUUA